rnacentral:rRNA from 1 species
UACGGGGGGAGCAAGCGUUGUUCGGAUUUACUGGGCGUAAAGGGCGCGUAGGCGGCCACCGCAAGUCAAUUGUGAAAUCUCCGGGCUUAACUCGGAAAGGUCAACUGAUACUGCGGGGCUAGAGUGCGGAAGGGGCAACUGGAAUUCUCGGUGUAGCGGUGAAAUGCGUAGAUAUCGAGAGGAGCACCUGCGGCGAAGGCGGGUUGCUGGGCCGACACUGACGCUGAUGCGCGAAAGCCAGGGGAGCGAACGGG